AACGAACGCUGGCGGCACGCCUAACACAUGCAAGUCGAGCGCUUCACUUCGGUGAGGAGCGGCGGACGGGUUAGUAACGCGUGGGAACAUACCCUUUUCUAAGGAAUAGCCACUGGAAACGGUGAGUAAUACCUUAUACGCCCUUCGGGGGAAAGAUUUAUCGGUGAAGGAUUGGCCCGCGUUAGAUUAGUUUGUUGGUGGGGUAAUGGCCUACCAAGACUACGAUCUAUAGCUGGUUUGAGAGGAUGAUCAGCAACACUGGGACUGAGACACGGCCCAGACUCCUACGGGAGGCAGCAGUGGGGAAUCUUAGACAAUGGGCGCAAGCCUGAUCUAGCGAUGCCGCGUGAGUGAUGAAGGCCUUAGGGUCGUAAAGCUCUUUCGCCAGGGAUGAUAAUGACAGUACCUGGUAAAGAAACCCCGGCUAACUCCGUGCCAGCAGCCGCGGUAAUACGGAGGGGGUUAGCGUUGUUCGGAAUUACUGGGCGUAAAGCGUACGUAGGCGGAUCAGAAAGUAAGGGGUGAAAUCCCAGGGCUCAACCCUGGAACUGCCUCUUAAACUCCUGGUCUUGAGUUCGAGAGAGGUGAGUGGAAUUCCAAGUGUAGAGGUGAAAUUCGUAGAUAUUUGGAGGAACACCAGUGGCGAAGGCGGCUCACUGGCUCGAUACUG
rnacentral:rRNA from 1 species